AUGCCACCCAAGGCGCCCAUUACGUGCAACUGGGUGAGAUCCAGCGUUACUGAUAACACCUUAGAUGACUUCGUGAAAACGGGUUACCUGCCUAAGAAGGAGGUCAUGUCCUAUCGUGCGCCUGACCCGUCCGAAGAAAGACCUCAACCAAGAGACGGAGAGGUUGUUAUAUUUGCUUAUCACAUGAGCCGGGGUUUUGCACCUCCCGGCUCAAAGUUCUUCAGAGAUGUUCUGCACUUUUUCGAUCUGCGACCUCAAGACAUUGGACCCAAUUCCGUGUCGAACAUUUGUAACUUCCAAGUGUUCUGUGAGGUGUACCUUGGAGAAGAGCCCAGCCUACUACUCUUUAGGGAGCUGUUUUAUCUGAACCGCCAAAACGAGUGUGCCAACGGGCCUAGCCUGGAACUUGGCGGGAUUUCAAUCCAACGACGAAGAGAUUGCCUCUUUCCUUAUGCUGAGCCGCCAAGCCACCCAAAGGACUGGAACCAGACAUGGUUCUACUGCCAGGAUACUUCUCCGGCUGAUGAGAACCCUCUGCCCGGCUUUCGCGCCCUGCGUCUGGAGUCAAAUCACCCCCUGCCAGACAAAUUAUCUCAAGUUGAGCGUCAACCACUCCUCCCCACCAUCAACAAGAUUAAAGCUCUUCUGGGAAACGGCCUUAACGGCGUUGAUCUGGUCCGGGUCUGGAUUGCUUGGCGGGUGAUUCCUCUAAGCCGCCGCCCUGGCUUAAUGUGUGAUUACACGGGCCGGAAGGAUGAUCCUCUUCGGCACAGCCCCAACGACUUACCUGAGGACGUCGUUGAUGAUAUGACCAAGUCCCUUCUAAACGAGAGCUUAGCAGAUUGCGGGAGGACAGGCUUAAGUCCCUUCUGCAAAGCUAACCCGGCUCCAGCGGCUAAUGAUAAGUUCUGGAAGGUCAGGUAUGACCAUGAGGCUGCUAAAAAAGCCAGGAAGGUCAAAAAAGCCGCCAGGAGAGCCGCUCCCCGCAAGAAGGGGAGUAAGCCUAGCGCCUCAGACCUGCUUCAGUUGGAUGACACCUCCGAGUCAGAGGAUGAUACCGGAGCGAGUAACCCGGUGAUUGAAGAGAUUCAUGAGAGCCGGAGGCAAACCCGGACCAACAAGGAAGCAGACCUCUCCUCCGGCUUACCUGAAGCAUCAAGGAAGCGCCGGACCGAGGAAACUUCACCUUCCUCCGGGGACUCCAUGCAAUCUAACUUGCCGGCUUUCAAGACCGCUCCCGAUGCACAAGCAAAGCUCAGCAAGAGGGAAAAGAAAAGUAACUCGGUCGAAGAGCCGGUCUUGACUGAACCCAACGCCUCUGCCUCUGAGCCGCCGUCUGCACCAGCUCCAGAAACCACCGCUCCAACUGAAGAACAAGCCAUGGAGGGUUCUGACAACCCGGAGAUUCCCAGCCCAGCUCAACCGGCCGAUGACCCGGAUGUGGUGAUUACCCGGACCGAAUAUGUUGAGCUGGGAAGACCCACUGUGCUGGCUAGAUGCUCUGCUAAGGAAGAACUGCUGGAGCGCCGUAGGGCCAGACUGGAUAUCACUGACUAUGCUAACUUGAGCAUUGGAGAUAUUGUUGCUGGUUAUAUUGGUCAAGUGCACAACAGCCGGGACCUGGAAAUUGACAUGGUGAAGCAGAUACAGCAAAAAUCUGAGGCUGCCUGCAAGAAACUUGAAUCGGAAAUCUCUGAUCUGAAGACCCGCCUGAAGACUCAGGAAAAUGAGACCCAGAAAGCCAAUGCCAAAUUUGAGUUCAGUGUCUCUGCACAAGAAAAACUGAAGAAAAAAUUUGAAACAGAAAGAAAAGCCUGGGCCGAUGAGAAGACUGCCUUACUCAGCCGGGCCGAACAAGCGGAGGCUGCUCUUACUGAAAGAACCGCCAAACUCUCCGGCUUAAAAUGCCAUGUAUCGCAGAUGGUCUCCGCAAUCUUUGGCCCUAGAAGCUCCAAUCUCAAUCAGAACAUGCGAACCAAGCUGAAGGCUGUUUACACCUUGGUGGAGCAACUCUACACCGGGUCACAACGUGCUUUAGACGUUGUGGCUCUGUCCAAUGAGGUUCCCACUCACCUGGUAGACGUACUCAGGCGGCUUGCCGUACUUCCUCAACGCUUCCAAGAGCUGAGACGGGCUUCUGCUAGAGCCGGAGCUAUAGCUGCUCUGAGCCGGGCCAAGGCGUUUCUACCGGAGCUAGACCCGGCCGACAUCGCUCUUGGAUACCCCAACCUGAAGGAAGAUGGUACCCCCUUUGACCAGAAAGACUUCGCCGCCUGUGUGAAGAGUGUGCGCCCGGUGGCCACCUUGAUUGGGAAUGACACAGAUCUUACCAAGUAUCAGCCGGGCUAUGACGCGGAGAAUCAGAGGAUCCCCACUCCACGUUAUGAAGCAGUUAGCCUGAUCCCUCCGACUCGUAAGCAUGCCUUCGCCCCAGAAGUUGACCCGGCCGGGUUAAUUGAUGAUGAGGCUCAAUUCGAAGCUUUGAGUGGCAUUGACUGGAAAUCAACAACCUUCCAGGUCAUGGAAACAGCCGGAGGAGCGGAGAGGGAUGAGCCGGGAGCUUCAACCCAACAAGCACCUUGA
rnacentral:rRNA from 1 species